rnacentral:snRNA from 1 species
UCAUUAGACUCUUCGUUUGG